GACGAACGCUGGCGGCGUGCCUAAUACAUGCAAGUAGAACGCUGAAGAGAGGAGCUUGCUCUUCUUGGAUGAGUUGCGAACGGGUGAGUAACGCGUAGGUAACCUGCCUUGUAGCGGGGGAUAACUAUUGGAAACGAUAGCUAAUACCGCAUAACAAUGGAUGACACAUGUCAUUUAUUUGAAAGGGGCAAUUGCUCCACUACAAGAUGGACCUGCGUUGUAUUAGCUAGUAGGUGAGGUAACGGCUCACCUAGGCGACGAUACAUAGCCGACCUGAGAGGGUGAUCGGCCACACUGGGACUGAGACACGGCCCAGACUCCUACGGGAGGCAGCAGUAGGGAAUCUUCGGCAAUGGGGGCAACCCUGACCGAGCAACGCCGCGUGAGUGAAGAAGGUUUUCGGAUCGUAAAGCUCUGUUGUAAGUCAAGAACGAGUGUGAGAGUGGAAAGUUCACACUGUGACGGUAGCUUACCAGAAAGGGACGGCUAACUACGUGCCAGCAGCCGCGGUAAUACGUAGGUCCCGAGCGUUGUCCGGAUUUAUUGGGCGUAAAGCGAGCGCAGGCGGUUUGAUAAGUCUGAAGUUAAAGGCUGUGGCUCAACCAUAGUUCGCUUUGGAAACUGUCAAACUUGAGUGCAGAAGGGGAGAGUGGAAUUCCAUGUGUAGCGGUGAAAUGCGUAGAUAUAUGGAGGAACACCGGUGGCGAAAGCGGCUCUCUGGUCUGUAACUGACGCUGAGGCUCGAAAGCGUGGGGAGCGAACAGGAUUAGAUACCCUGGUAGUCCACGCCGUAAACGAUGAGUGCUAGGUGUUGGAUCCUUUCCGGGAUUCAGUGCCGCAGCUAACGCAUUAAGCACUCCGCCUGGGGAGUACGACCGCAAGGUUGAAACUCAAAGGAAUUGACGGGGGCCCGCACAAGCGGUGGAGCAUGUGGUUUAAUUCGAAGCAACGCGAAGAACCUUACCAGGUCUUGACAUCCCGAUGCUAUUUCUAGAGAUAGAAAGUUACUUCGGUACAUCGGUGACAGGUGGUGCAUGGUUGUCGUCAGCUCGUGUCGUGAGAUGUUGGGUUAAGUCCCGCAACGAGCGCAACCCCUAUUGUUAGUUGCCAUCAUUCAGUCGGGCACUCUAGCGAGACUGCCGGUAAUAAACCGGAGGAAGGUGGGGAUGACGUCAAAUCAUCAUGCCCCUUAUGACCUGGGCUACACACGUGCUACAAUGGUUGGUACAACGAGUUGCGAGUCGGUGACGGCAAGCUAAUCUCUUAAAGCCAAUCUCAGUUCGGAUUGUAGGCUGCAACUCGCCUACAUGAAGUCGGAAUCGCUAGUAAUCGCGGAUCAGCACGCCGCGGUGAAUACGUUCCCGGGCCU
rnacentral:rRNA from 1 species